AAUGACAUCAAUCAGAUAAAGGAGACAGCCUAUCCCUGAUUCAUCUGAUUGCCAAAGAACCAAAGAAGAUUCAAAGACUUCAAUAGAGAAAACAGCUCCAGAAAUUGCCCCAACAGCAGCUCCUCUAACAAACCCACUCUCUGUUUCUUGGCCAAUCAAUGCUCCAGUCAUGGCUCCAAGCAAAGUCCCCACUAGAGCGAAG
rnacentral:misc_RNA from 1 species